rnacentral:rRNA from 1 species
UACAGAGGUGGCAAGCGUUGUUCGGAAUUACUGGGCGUAAAGGGCGCGUAGGCGGUUCGUUAAGUCCUGUGUGAAAUCCCCCGGCUCAACUGGGGAACUGCACAGGAAACUAGCGGGCUUGAGUUCGGGAGAGGGAAGCGGAAUUCCGGGUGUAGCGGUGGAAAUGCGUAGAUAUCCGGAGGAACACCGGUGGCGAAGGCGGCUCCUGGACCGACACUGACGCUGAGGCGCGAAAGCUAGGGGAGCAAACGGG